GUGGAUAAUAUUUGACCCAAUACUUGUUUAUCUGCAUGUAGAGUUUUGACCCAAGUCUUUAGGGCUUUAUGUCUUGGUAAGUUUGAUUCCGUGUUUCAAAUCCUUCGAGGAUUUCUACAUGGAUUUAUAUUGUGUUCAAUAAAAUACAAAUUUUGUACAUUUUUAACUGCACACAGCAGGAAUAUAAACCGAUGAAUCAGAGCCAAAACAUUCAAGACAAUCUCAUCGUACUGUUCUGUUACAGAUCAUCAAGAGUUUGGACUCUUUCUCUGUGCUACAGUGAAGAUCCUGGGAAUCAUAAUCCUCUGCAGUGCAGUCGUCACCUUUGAGUGCUGGUUUAGAUCAUCCAACAGAUCAAGGAAGGAUCCAGCAGAACCAGAGCGGGUCAACAGAGUGAUGGAGAUUCAGGCAUCAUGAGCCACAAGGAGGCGAAGAAAACGUUCACUAUUAGUGGGACAAUAUCUUUCUUUUUUCUUGCAUUUGAAUUUGACUGUACAUGUGUUGAUUUUUAUUACAAGAUAAGCAGAUAACAUUUGAACUUGGCAUUAAAAUCUUCUUAAAAUGGAAACAAGGAAAACUUGAGAUACUGCACAAAUUAUUCAUCUUUUGUUUGCCAUGUUUGCUUGUUAUUUUCUUUCCCCUUUUCUGUCAUUUAACCAUCAGCCUUUAUUGAGGAAGCACUUUUUCCUUAGACUAAAUGCUGCAAGCAAUUUCCAAUGCAUUUAAAAAAUAAAUAGUGACCUGUAUUCUAUUCAUUUUGCUGGGAAUAAAUAAAUUCAUUUUUAGACCAAAAGAGACCGAGCACAUUGCUUAUAUUUUUAAGUGCUGUGUCAAAUUUUACUGCUAUGUUUUAAACCAAGUUAGUUGAAAAUUCUCAUAUUUCUUGUGUUACAUAAUUUUGUUCUGGCACUUUGAUGUAUUCGGGCAGUUCCUCUUUUAAACUUCUUUACUGAAUAGUGAAUAGUCUGACGAUGACAGUGUCAAAAAAAAUGCCGUCAUUUUUCACCACUCUGUGAAUAUUAGAGUCGAUUUUUGUUCCUAUUGCUUAAGGCUAAGCUGUCAAUUU